UGCUCUUUCACUAGCGGUACUUUAGGUGAC
rnacentral:piRNA from 1 species